CACCGCGGUUAUACGAGAGACCCGAGUUGAUAACUACCGGCGUAAAGAGUGGUUAGGGAGCCUAUUAACUAAAGCCGAACGCCUCCUAAGCUGUUAUACGCACCUGGAAGUAUGAAGCCCCCUCACGAAAGUAGCUUUACCCCCCCCCCCCGAACCCACGAUAGCUAUGUCA
rnacentral:rRNA from 1 species